rnacentral:lncRNA from 1 species
AUAUAUUUUUUUAUAAACUUUAUUAAAUAGUCAAUAAACAAACUAUAUUGUUGACAAUGAAAUAUUGUUGGCGGAAAUGAAAUGAAAAAAAAGAGUAGAAAAUAAAGAGUAAAAAAAUUAGAAAAAAGUAAUGAGUAAAAGAGACGGCUAGGGUUUUAUUAGGAUGAAAAUACAUAGUGACUCAUCAUCUAUAAGUCAUAUUAAAAUUGAU